rnacentral:rRNA from 1 species
GAUGAACGCUAGCGGCGGGCUUAAUACAUGCAAGUCAAGGGGUAGCAAUACACCGGCGUACGGGUGCGUAACGCGUAUGGAACCUGCCCUUAUCUGGGGGAUAACUCGGGGAAACUCGAGCUAAUACCGCAUAAGAUAGUAAAGAGGCAUCUCUUAGCUAUUAAAGAUUUAUCGGAUAAGGAUGGCCAUGCGUAAGAUUAGAUAGUUGGCGAGGUAACGGCUCACCAAGUCUACGAUCUUUAGGGGCUCUGAGAGGAGAAUCCCCCACACUGGCACUGAGAUACGGGCCAGACUCCUACGGGAGGCAGCAGUAGGGAAUAUUGGGCAAUGGGCGGAAGCCUGACCCAGCCACGCCGCGUGCAGGAAGACGGCCCUCUGGGUUGUAAACUGCUUUUAACUGGGAAGAAAGCAGCUCAUGCGUGAGAAUUGACGGUACCAGUUGAAUAAGCCACGGCUAACUACGUGCCAGCCGCCGCCGUAAUAC